UUGCUUUGGCAGCACCUAUUCUAAACUUUGACUGAUACAGAGGUGAUUAACAUGGCCCCCAUAUCAGGAUAACACACAAAUUGGAAAACAAUUCUAUAUUUUU